rnacentral:rRNA from 1 species
UGGGGAAUUUUGGACAAUGGGCGAAAGCCUGAUCCAGCAAUGCCGCGUGUGUGAAGAAGGCCUUCGGGUUGUAAAGCACUUUUGUCCGGAAAGAAAUCCUUGGCUCUAAUACAGUCGGGGGAUGACGGUACCGGAAGAAUAAGCACCGGCUAACUACGUGCCAGCAGCCGCGGUAAUACGUAGGGUGCAAGCGUUAAUCGGAAUUACUGGGCGUAAAGCGUGCGCAGGCGGUUUGCUAAGACCGAUGUGAAAUCCCCGGGCUCAACCUGGGAACUGCAUUGGUGACUGGCAGGCUAGAGUAUGGCAGAGGGGGGUAGAAUUCCACGUGUAGCAGUGAAAUGCGUAGAGAUGUGGAGGAAUACCGAUGGCGAAGGCAGCCCCCUGGGCCAAUACUGACGCUCAUGCACGAAAGCGUGGGGAGCAAACAGGAUUAGAUACCCUGGUAGUCCACGCCCUAAACGAUGUCAACUAGUUGUUGGGGGACUUCAUUUCCUUAGUAACGUAGCUAACGCGUGAAGUUGACCGCCUGGGGAGUACGGUCGCAAGAUUAAAACUCAAAUGAAUUGACGGGGUCAUAGCUGUUUCCU